rnacentral:rRNA from 1 species
GAUGAACGCUAGCUACAGGCUUAACACAUGCAAGUCGAGGGACCGGCGCACGGGUGAGUAACACGUAUCCCACCUGCCCUUUACUCGGGGAUAGCCUUUCGCAAGAAAGAUUAAUACCCGAUAUAAAGGAUGGGGAUGCGUUCCAUUAGGUUGUGGGUGAGGUAACGGCUCACCAAGCCUUCGAUGGAUAGGGGGUCUGAGAGGAAGGUCCCCCACAUUGGAACUGGGACCCGGUCCAAACUCCGACGGGAGGCAGAAGUGAGGAAGAUUGGUCAAUGGGCGCUAGCCUGAACCAGCCAAGUAGCGUGAAGAAUGAAGGGUUAUGGGUCGUAAAUUACUUUUAUAUAAGAAGAGGUAUUAUAUGAAUAAGGAUCGGCUAACUCCGUGCCAGCAGCCGCGGUAAUAC